rnacentral:lncRNA from 1 species
GUUAAAAAUAGAAUAAAAGUAUAAUUUAAAGAAAAAUAUAGAAACAAAAUGUAUGAUAUAAUGGUUUAAAUAGUGAAAUAUGACUAGUUUUGGUGAAAAAGAAAAGGUUAACUAGUUCUCCAGGGGACACCAAGCGGUGCGACCUUCUGUCUGUGAACAAUGAGAUCUCGGGUUCAAACCCCACGCCUCUCCCUCCCCAGCUCCCCCA